GAUGAACGCUGGCGGCGUGCUUAACACAUGCAAGUCGAACGAUGAAGCCCAGGUUGCUGGGUGGAUUAGUGGCGAACGGGUGAGUAACACGUGAGUAACCUGCCCCUAACUCUGGGAUAAGCCUGGGAAACUGGGUCUAAUACCGGCUAGGAGCGUCCACCGCAUGGCGGGUGUUGGAAAGAUUUAUCGGUUUUGGAUGGACUCGCGGCCUAUCAGCUUGUUGGUGAGGUAAUGGCUCACCAAGGCGACGACGGGUAGCCGGCCUGAGAGGGUGACCGGCCACACGGGGACUGAGACACGGACCAGACUCCUACGGGAGGCAGCAGUGGGGAAUAUUGCACAAUGGGCGCGAGCCUGAUGAAGCGACGCCGCGUGAGGGAUGACGGCCUUCGGGUUAUAAACCUCUUUCAGUAGGGAAGAAGCGAAAGUGACGGUACCUGCAGAAGAAGCACCGGCUAACUACGUG
rnacentral:rRNA from 1 species